rnacentral:rRNA from 1 species
AUGUCAGUGUUUCGAGUCCUCUUAUCUCCAGCCCAUGAACUUAGCGGAUACUAUGAUAGCGAUAGCACCGAAUUUUGCCAAUUCGGCAGUUUGAUCUAUGAUUUCACAUUCAUGGAUGUUGAUAUCCUUCCAUUUAGUAGCACCUUAGGAUGGCAUAGCCUUAACGUUAAUGGCGAGGUUCAAAAUAGGAAAGGCUUGCGGUGGAUACCUAGGCACCCAUAGACGAGGAAUGACGUAGCAAGCGACGAAAUGCUUCGGGGAGUUGAAAAUAAGCAUAGAUCCGAAGAUUCCCAAAUAGGUCAACCUUUUAAACUUCCUGCUAAAUCCACGAGUAGGCAAGAGACAACCUGGCAAAUUGAAACAUCUUAG